UACGGAGGGUGCAAGCGUUAAUCGGAAUUACUGGGCGUAAAGCGCGCGUAGGCGGCUUGGUCAGUUGUGUGUGAAAGCCCCGGGCUUAACCUGGGAACUGCAUGCAAUACUGCCAGGCUGGAGUAUGGUAGAGGGAAGUGGAAUUUCAGGUGUAGCGGUGAAAUGCGUAGAUAUCUGAAGGAACACCAGUGGCGAAGGCGACUUCCUGGACCAAUACUGACGCUGAGGUGCGAAAGCGUGGGUAGCAAACAAG
rnacentral:misc_RNA from 1 species